CGCAAGGGUCUCGCUGAUGGAGGGGUCCGCGUCCGAUUAGCUAGUUGGCAGGGUAAUGGCCUACCAAGGCGACGAUCGGUAGCCGGCCUGAGAGGGUGAUCGGCCACACUGGAACUGAGACACGGUCCAGACUCCUACGGGAGGCAGCAGUGGGGAAUUUUGCGCAAUGGGCGAAAGCCUGACGCAGCAACGCCGCGUGGAGGAUGAAGGUCUUUGGAUUGUAAACUCCUGUCAGCAGGGAAAAAGCGACUCGACCUCAUACGUCGGGGAGUUGAUUGUACCUGCAGAGGAAGCCCCGGCUAACUCUGUGCCAGCAGCCGCGGUAAUACAGAGGGGGCAAGCGUUAUUCGGAAUUAUUGGGCGUAAAGGGCGCGUAGGCGGCUUGGCAAGUGACGGGUGAAACCCCUCGGCUUAACCGAGGAACUGCCUGUCAGACUGCUUUGCUUAAGGCCGGGAGAGGCGAGUGGAAUUCCCAGUGUAGCGGUGAAAUGCGUAGAUAUUGGGAGGAACACCAGUGGCGAAGGCGGCUCGCUGGACCGGUUCUGACGCUGAGGCGCGAAAGCGUGGGGAGCAAACAGGAUUAGAU
rnacentral:rRNA from 1 species